rnacentral:rRNA from 1 species
CCCGCUGAACUUAAGCAUAUCAAUAAGCGGAGGAAAAGAAACCAACAGGGAUUACCUCAGUAACGGCGAGUGAAGCGGUAAGAGCUCAAAUUUGAAAGCUGGCUCCUUCGGGGUCCGCAUUGUAAUUUGCAGAGGAUGUUUCGGGAGCAGCCCCCAUCUAAGUGUCCUGGAACGGACCGUCAUAGAGGGUGAGAAUCCCGUAUGGGAUGGGGUGUCUGCGCCCAUGUGAAACUCCUUCGACGAGUCGAGUUGUUUGGGAAUGCAGCUCUAAAUGGGUGGUAAAUUUCAUCUAAAGCUAAAUAUUGGCCGGAGACCGAUAGCGCACAAGUAGAGUGAUCGAAAGAUGAAAAGCACUUUGAAAAGAGAGUUAAAAAGCACGUGAAAUUGUUGAAAGGGAAGCGCUUGCGAUCAGACUCGCCUUGGGGGUUCAGCCGGCAUUCGUGCCGGUGUACUUCCCCCAGGGCGGGCCAGCGUCGGUUUGGGUGGCCGGUCAAAGGCCCUUGGAAUGUAACGCCUCUCGGGGCGUCUUAUAGCCAAGGGUGCCAUGCGGCCUACCUGGACCGAGGAACGCGCUUCGGCUCGGACGCUGGCAUAAUGGUCGUAAGCGACCCGUCUUGAAACACGG